GACGAACGCUGGCGGCGUGCUUAAUACAUGCAAGUCGAACGGAAAGGCCCUGCUCUUGCGGGGUGCUCGAGUGGCGAACGGGUGAGUAACACGUGAGUAAACUGCACCUGACUUUGGGGUAACUUCAGGAAACUGGGGCUAAUACCGGAUAGGAGCUACUGCUGCAUGGUGGGGGUUGGAAAGAUUCGGUCGUUGGGUCUGGUCUGGCGGGUUAUCAGCUAGUUGGUGGAGUAGUGGCUUACCAAGGCUUUGACGGGUAGCCGGCCUUAGAGGGUGAACGGGGUCAUGAGGACUGCGGGACGGACCAGACGCCUAUGGUCGGCAAUGGGGGGGAGUAUGACGCAGUGGCGGGGAGUCAGUGACGGAGGCCUCGGGAGCGUGAAAACGUCCUAUUAGGUGUAAACCGCUGUCGCCUGAGACGUAGCGGGAGUGACGGUAAUGAGUAAGAAAGCACCGGCUAACUACGUG
rnacentral:rRNA from 1 species